rnacentral:snRNA from 2 species
AUACUUACCUGUCAGGACAAAGACCAUGAUCACAGUGGUGGUUUUCCCAGGGUGAGGCUUAUCCACUGCACUCUCGUGCUAAUCCCUGCAAUUUCCCCAAAAUUCAGGGAACACAACUGCAUAAUUUGUGGUAGUCGGGGACUCGUGGACAGGAAAUGUUUCUACGAACUCUGU